rnacentral:lncRNA from 1 species
CUCCACCCAUCUGUGUCUUUCAAGACACAGCAUUCCAGGGGUCUGGCUGGACUGACUUCCACCACUGUUGAACCUGCCUUCUUCCUCUCUGCUUCUUCAGUUCCACACCACAGGUUCCAGAUCAUCCCAGUGAUGCCAAUCCUGGUACGACUAACUUUUUUUUAUGGAUUUUGGUUCUUGGAAUGAUCCCCAACAGCCAUCUAGCUCAGAGAGGGAAGAAAAGUCUCAGGACCCCAAGAUUUCACCUGUGGCAAGAUCUGCUGUGCUAGGUUAUUUUCUUUUCCUGGAAGCUCCAUUCCAACCUUCACCACACAUCUCGCCACCACGGGAGGCUGACCUGUAUGAAUUGUGAGCACCAGCACUCCUGGCCUCAGGCUUCCUGUUGGGCUCCACCAAGGGGAGAUGCCAUCGAAAGACGCCAUUUGGGGGGAAAGUAAGGUUGAGGUAUUUAUUCUCUGAAUGGGAAUAAUGAUGAUAAGGGUGAUGAUGAUGUCUGCAGCUUCCAGCAGACCCACACACCUUCUUCUGCAUCUACAUAUACAGUUAUCUCACUUUCUUCUGCCCUUUCAGCCCUAGAGGUGGCAACACUAGCCCCCUCGGUAUUUCACCAUCUUUUGUUGGUUUCACUGUACCCUGUCUACCCUUUUGUAAACUGCCCCAUCUUUAAACUCUCCUCAAUCACUCUGCUUGAAUAUGCCAUUUGGGACAUUGCUGGUAUCCUGCCUGACUCUUAGUUUCUAGUUCAGUACUCUCCCCCCUACCCCCCAACACUGUGCUGGGUUGAAGCAUGGAGAUAAAAAGAUUGCUUUCAUGGGAAUGAGUUUUACUCUUUUCUUCAAAAAUUAUAUUUUCUUGGAAAUAUUUUGAUAGUUAAGAAUGGACUGCAAUUUCAUUCCCUUUUGUGAUGACAUUGCAAUUUCUUUACAGGACAGGUCAGAAAAAAGAUAGGAAUUUUUCCUAGGCGAAUUACUGAUAGAAUCACAUCCCUUUCCAAGCUCUUGUCCAUCCUAGGAAUAAAAUGAAAAGAGGUUAUUCUGUAUGAUAUUGG